rnacentral:rRNA from 1 species
GCUAUACAUGCAAGUCGAGCGGACAGAAGGGAGCUUGCUCCCGGAUGUUAGCGGCGGACGGGUGAGUAACACGUGGGUAACCUGCCUGUAAGACUGGGAUAACUCCGGGAAACCGGAGCUAAUACCGGAUAGUUCCUUGAACCGCAUGGUUCAAGGAUGAAAGACGGUUUCGGCUGUCACUUACAGAUGGACCCGCGGCGCAUUAGCUAGUUGGUGAGGUAACGGCUCACCAAGGCGACGAUGCGUAGCCGACCUGAGAGGGUGAUCGGCCACACUGGGACUGAGACACGGCCCAGACUCCUACGGGAGGCAGCAGUAGGGAAUCUUCCGCAAUGGACGAAAGUCUGACGGAGCAACGCCGCGUGAGUGAUGAAGGUUUUCGGAUCGUAAAGCUCUGUUGUUAGGGAAGAACAAGUGCAAGAGUAACUGCUUGCACCUUGACGGUACCUAACCAGAAAGCCACGGCUAACUACGUGCCAGCAGCCGCGGUAAUACGUAGGUGGCAAGCGUUGUCCGGAAUUAUUGGGCGUAAAGGGCUCGCAGGCGGUUUCUUAAGUCUGAUGUGAAAGCCCCCGGCUCAACCGGGGAGGGUCAUUGGAAACUGGGAAACUUGAGUGCAGAAGAGGAGAGUGGAAUUCCACGUGUAGCGGUGAAAUGCGUAGAGAUGUGGAGGAACACCAGUGGCGAAGGCGACUCUCUGGUCUGUAACUGACGCUGAGGAGCGAAAGCGUGGGGAGCGAACAGGAUUAGAUACCCUGGUAGUCCACGCCGUAAACGAUGAGUGCUAAGUGUUAGGGGGUUUCCGCCCCUUAGUGCUGCAGCUAACGCAUUAAGCACUCCGCCUGGGGAGUACGGUCGCAAGACUGAAACUCAAAGGAAUUGACGGGGGCCCGCACAAGCGGUGGAGCAUGUGGUUUAAUUCGAAGCAACGCGAAGAACCUUACCAGGUCUUGACAUCCUCUGACAACCCUAGAGAUAGGGCUUUCCCUUCGGGGACAGAGUGACAGGUGGUGCAUGGUUGUCGUCAGCUCCUGUCGUGAGAUGUUGGGUUAAGUCCCGCAACGAGCGCAACCCUUGAUCUUAGUUGCCAGCAUUCAGUUGGGCACUCUAAGGU